AAGCCAUGCAUGUCUAAGUAUAAACGAUUUAAUCGUGAAACCGCGAAUGGCUCAUUAUAACAGCUAUAAUUUACUUGAUCUUGACACAAUCCUACUUGGAUAACUGUGGUAAUUCUAGAGCUAAUACAUGCAUUAAAGCUCUGACCUCACGGGAAGAGUGCAUUUAUUAGAACAAAACCAAGCGGCUUCGGCUGUUUCUGGUUGACUCAUAGUAACUGAGCUGAUCGCAUGGUCUUGCACCGGCGACGUGUCUUUCAAGUAUCUGCCGUAUCAACUUUCGAUGGUAGUGUAUCUGACUACCAUGGUGAUCACGCGUAACGGAGAAUAAGGGUUCGGCUCCGGAGAGUUCGCCUGAGAAAUCGCGAACACAUCUAAGGAAGGCAGCAGGCGCGAAAAUUACCCACUCUCAGCACGAGGAGGUAGUGACGAAAAAUAACGAGACCGUUCUCUUAUGAGGCCGGUCAUCGGAAUGGGUACAAUUUAAACCCUUUAACGAGUA
rnacentral:rRNA from 1 species